GAUGAACGCUGGCGGCGUGCCUAAUACAUGCAAGUCGAGCGAACGGACGAGAAGCUUGCUUCUCUGAUGUUAGCGGCGGACGGGUGAGUAACACGUGGAUAACCUACCUAUAAGACUGGGAUAACUUCGGGAAACCGGAGCUAAUACCGGAUGAUAUUUUGAACCGCAUGGUUCAAAAGUGAAAGACGGUCUUGCUGUCACUUAUAGAUGGAUCCGCGCUGCAUUAGCUAGUUGGUAAGGUAACGGCUUACCAAGGCAACGAUGCAUAGCCGACCUGAGAGGGUGAUCGGCCACACUGGAACUGAGACACGGUCCAGACUCCUACGGGAGGCAGCAGUAGGGAAUCUUCCGCAAUGGGCGAAAGCCUGACGGAGCAACGCCGCGUGAGUGAUGAAGGUCUUCGGAUCGUAAAACUCUGUUAUUAGGGAAGAACAGAGGUGUAAGUAACUGUGCACGUCUUGACGGUACCUAAUCAGAAAGCCACGGCUAACUACGUG
rnacentral:rRNA from 1 species